CACCCCCACCCCCGAGACCGGGUGCGGCACCUCCGCCCGCCAGCCGCUCCUGCAUUAAAAUUUCAUGGGCGCUGCAGUAAAGGCGAAGCCGACGCCGACUGCGCUGGGGGGCCGUAGGGAGGGAGGCUGCGGACCAGUGCGGGGAGGAGUUUGCGAGGGGAGGCGCUUGCAGGGGCUCCCCCAGUUCUGCUGAGAGCCGGGCACAAAGAGCCUUCUACACUCCAGCUGCAGGAGCGAGGAGCCGAGACACGACGGACUCUGAAGCCUGUGUGGUAUCUCUGAAACGGCCUGGGGCGACCCCAGAACCCAUUAGUUCGGUUCCUCAACCCCCACCCCCACCCCGGGCUCUGAGAUGUUCUCUGCAGAGGCUGGGGAUUUGAGAGGGAAAGGUCCAGACCUCUCUCAGCCCGGGCGCGAGCGAGCUUAUCUCUUGGACAGAGGGAUUCCGGGGAGCGCGGGCACCCCACUCUCUCCCCAGGCUCCCGAGCACAGGCCGCCCGGCGCCGGGGAUUGCUGGCGCGCACCCCCCACUGCGGAGCGGAGUCGCGCCAGGAGAACGCCCCCACCUGCUGCAGGGAGGGGCGCGAGGAGCGAGGACUGGCUGCCAGCCGGUUUGUUUUUCUCCGCGCCAGCGUCGCCCGGAGCUAGGCGCAGCCUCGCUGCCUCCCAGGAGGCGCCGCCGGGUGCUUAGAGCCCCGGACAGGGAUGAGUAACCCCGCACUCCCGGGGCUCCCAGCGAGUGAGCCGGUGUCCCGCCACGUGGCCCCGCGCUGCGUCAGCACAUCUGGGGCGGGGCUGCUCAUCUGGAGGUGCUCAGAAUCGCUCCCACUCCUGGAGGCAGGGCCGGAGGUCUGUCUGUUGUCAUCACACACUGCCUCUCAGUGGUGCCUGGAGACAAAGCAAGGCUUCACCUCUUGCAAAAAUGCAGGCGGCGGGCAGAGGCCAACGGCUUUACUGAGCCUCCUGAACCUCAAGGUCCAGUCCGGAGACUUUGAUCGUGGUCGCCAAGCCCCUGCGGCGGUGUUAAAUGGACAUUGUCCCAUGUCUAUUGCCCCAGGGAGAUCUCCCAAACCUAUCCCACACCCAGCCAUGGUGAGGAAGUUCCGGCCGGUUCCCAGAAGAGAGGAGGGUAUUGGGAAGGUCACAGACACCCUGCAAAGCCGCCUUGCAGAUAAGUAUCCCUUCACCCGCCCGCUGUGCGGACAGCAUGGUCUCUGCAGGUUCAUAUGGGAAAGGGUCAGCUCUGGAACCCCCCAGAGGGAGGGUGGACAGACGUCGUGACCCUGGCUCCUGAGGAUGGCAUCUGUAAGCUUGGACAGGCUCCUGGUCAUCUUGCAGACACAUGGGGACCUCCUCAGGGCUGCCCUCGGAGCCCAUUGUCUCCUCUCAGCUCCAGGAUCCUGUGACAGCAAGCUGUUAAGAGCUUGCUACGAGAUGCCUUGCCUUCCGGGGCUCGGGAGGACAGAGGUAGCAUAGCUGUCAGGGAAGAGCAAACCUGAGUCCUGGGAUUCGGGGUUCUCCCUCAUCUCCUCCACCGUGGUGACUGCAGCAGUCUGAAUGAACCCUGCGCCCUCUGCCACGUGUUCUCCGCUGUGAGGGUCACUAAAGGGUGACUGAGGUGGGCAGAAGGGCCACCUUUCAUCUCUCAGUUGUGGCUCCAGUGGCCAUUAUAGUAACCUUGUGUGACAGGACGGGGGAGAGAGAGAGAGAAAGAGAGGGGGGGGGCACAGGCUUCCAGCAGCCACAGCAGUGCUGAGGUCAGAGUCCUGGCAUCUCCUCUGCUGUCCCCAAGCUGCCCUGCUUGCCCUGAGUUUUCCUGGGUCACACAGGAACCCACAAUGUACCCAUGUUGGUGAAGGAUGCUGUAGGUGGCAGGGAAGGAGGAGGCAGAUGGCCUCUGGGCCAAGGCAGGGCUUGGGAGUGGUCCUCUCCUGUGGGGGGUUGGCUGUUGUGUCUUCCAGAGUCACCCUGUGAUGUCUGUGUGUGGGAGGAGCUAGGAGCUGCGGCUGCCAUGAUGUCAGGGUGAUGCUGGGUGUCUAGGGGUGAACGACAGAGACAUGGUCCCAUCCUCCGAGAUCUUCAAGUAAGAAAAAUGUGCCUCACCACAGCUCAGCAAGGGGAUAGCUCUGCAGUCUGUCUCCAGACCCUGGUCAGCUUUGGAGCCCUGGGGAUCCCUUGGAUUCUGACUUCGUGGAACUGGGGAGCAACUCAUCUCCCUGAAGACCCUGUGCUUUCCAGUGCCUGGGAUGGAGCCCUCUGGAGAAGAGCCAUUCCUGGAAGAUGCACGCUUAGGAUCCGCCCUGCCUCUGACGGACAGCUCGGGGUGGGAGAGGCUGCAGUUCAGAGCCCUGGGGCCCUGGAGGCCCCUCCUCAUCCCAUGUGGACUGGAAUCCUCCUCCAGUCUCUGGAAAUGGGGGGGGGAGCUUGUCUCAAAGGAUCUGUGGGUAGGGCAGGGACUUCAUGGGCAUGGGGGAAGAGCUCCUCAGGAGGAGCCCAAUGUCUGUCUUUUCUUUUCUUUUCUUUUCUUUUCUUUUCUUUUCUUUUCUUUUCUUUUCUUUUCUUUUCUUUUCUUUCCUUUCCUUUCCUUUCCUUUUCUUUUCUUUCUUUUUCUUUCCUUCCUUCUCUCUUUCUUUCUUUCUUUCUUGCUUGCUUUUCCUUUCAUUCUCCCUCUGUCUGUCUGUGUCUUUCCUCAAUUUGCUGCUUGAAUGAUGGCUCUGUUUGGGUGCUUCCUGGGUGAGGCUUAGCUCCCUGCUGGUUGUGGGAAGGAGACAGACAGCCAGUCCUGGCCUGGGAGCUAGCUCCUGUGCUGUCUAGCACAGGAAGGGACCUUGGAAAGAGAAAGGGGGUGCCCUGAGAUAAGGACACCCAGUAGGGAGGUUCCUGGCAGACCCACAGCGUCAGCUUCUUCCAGUCACUACAGAAUGGGCUGCACCCAGUCUGCAGUUACUGAGGCUUUGCUGAGGACACGGGGCUGCUCAGGGUGCAGCACCCCCAUCUGUGUUGCAUAGCUGCCGAGGGACAGAAGCUGGCACGCACUUCCUGCACCCCUGCUCAGGGUGCAGGGCCCAGCAUUCUCUCCCGUCUAUGCCCCGCCGCUGUCACCACCUUCCUGGAGGCGAUGGUUCUACAGUCGGCAAGAGAGCAGUGUGUGGCCUCCCUUGGGACGGGAAGUCUAGAAACAGGAAGCCCUUCAUGGGAUGGGGGUUGGGGGAAGGAGUUAUGUAUUUACUUUUCAGCCCAGGCUGUGAGGCUCAGCACCAGAGACUCCCACUCCAGUGCUCGGGGCUGGCAGAGCAAGAUCCAAGUGCCAGCAGUAGCUUUAUGUCCUCAGGGGGCCUCUCUUGGUGUCCAGAGUGAGUAGGCUCCAGGGAUUCGUUUCAUAAGGGCGACGGUCUUGUCGUUUCAAGACCCAGGCUUAGGACCUCAUCUGAGCUUAGGCACAGCCAUGAUGGGUUUGUCUCUCCAGGCCUUCACAUAGGGCCUGUGGGUUAGCCUGUGCCUCUUGGGGGGAGGGGGGACUCUGACAGGGUGGUCUCACAAACAGGAGCAGCCAAAGCCAUCUCCCUUUCAGAAUUCCUCACAUAGGGACGAGCAGAUGAAUGUAAGACAGACAGUUGCAGGCACUGUGCUAGGUGUCUCGGGGACGUGGUGGCUGUAGCCAGAGCAGAGCCAGCUCAGGUCUUGCUGUACAAGUCACCUUGCCUCUACCAGCCUUGAUUUCCGCUUUGUCUCUUGGGCCCUAGGCUGUCCUGGUGGCCCAGGUAGCUCUCAGGGAGGUCCUGUGCCUGGGUCAGUGCUGGGCUCUCAGAAGAUGCUUCCUACCUAUAGUUCUGUCCAGUGGGAGUUUAGGGAGUUUAGGGUUAGGGUGCAGCCAGGUUGGGUGCUUUGUGAUCCAGAGGCGUUCCUGGCUAGGCCACCCCCAUCUUCCUGAGGAGUCUGGGGGCACUGGCCAAUCUCUGUUGUAGGCUUGCCAGGUUUUCCAGAAGGGGAGGAACCCUGUUUCCUGCUACCAGCAUGGAGUCUAUUUUACCUCUUUUCUGUGAGCCGGUUUGGGAAAUACAGGUGCGGCCCAGCCGUGCUUCAGACAUUCACAACUUCAGAGAGAAGCUAUCUCCAGGAAGGGUUAGACAACAGUGGGGAGGCAGACCCUCAGCUCUGGCACUCUGGAGAGGCUCCGUAGCCAGGCUGACCCAACUGGAGGAUGAGAAGAGUGUGGCUUAGCUGAGUGCUUUUGGGAAGACGUUAAAGCACAACUCAAGUAGGUUAAAAGCAGUGCAGGACUUUUCAGAACCUUGAAAACGUGAAUGAGUGCUUCGGAUACUCGGGGUGGGGUAGACGGACAAAGCAAUUACUCCUGACUUGGCUGGCUACAGAAUUCUUUUCUUACCAAACAUUGUCUAGAAUGCUAGGAGACACAGCUUGAGCUUUAGGAAUGCCAAGGUCUAUAGAUAGGUGGUAUGGCUGGGGCGUACUCAGGUGGCCUGGUGUUGCCUGGAUGGAAAGAGAAGCCGGAGGGUUGCGGUGGAGGCAGUCCAAGCCUCGCCUUAGGACUCAGGCCACUUCCUUGUGGUGUUUGUAGAGGAGGGCAGGGCAGGCCAGUGGUGGGAGCAGCCAGAGACCUGGGAAUUGGUGACAGAAGAGAUGUCCAUUUCCAAGCAUGGCAGCUCUGGGUGGGGUGGGGUGGGGUGGGUUAGAUGCUUUGUCAAAAGAUACUGAGAUUGUGUGUGUGUGUGUGUGUGUGUGUGUGUACAGGCAUGUAUGCGUGUGAGAUAGUGCUUCUGGGAAGGGGUUGGCCACAACCAGGCAGGGGGUUUGCACUGAGGACGUGCAGGGCACAUUUUCAGCAGAGCUGAAGUGUUUGUGGGGCCCUGAGACCCACAGCUUAGAGCCAGAAGCUCUGGGCUUCCAGCAGGGGUCACUGAGGUCAGGUUUGAUUCCUGGGGGGGGGGUGCUGAGGGGUGUUGAGACAGACCCCCUGCCCUGGUCAGGCCCCCUGCCCAGGCUGGUGAGGACAGGAGGCCUGUGGUGGGUGGGGGAAGGCUGCAUGGUGUGUUUAACCUACUAACCAAACCAGGGCUCGGCCAGGACUCUACCGCCCGCCCCGCCCGCCCGCCUGCCCGCCCUCGACGAGACGCCUGGCCCUUCUGUCGACUGACUAAUCCACUAACCUGGCCCGAGCAUGUCCUACUAACCCCGCAGCAGCCAAACCCUACUAACUUGGCAGCCCAGGGGCCUUCCCAGAGGCCGGGAGGUGGGCAGACAAGGCUCUGGAAGGCCCUGCCUGGCGGCUGGGGUCUAUGUGCAGGCUCAUCCUGCAGGACAGGGCGUGCUAGGAGACUCACCAACUCUGCCACUCGCUGCUGCCCUCUCCGGGACGCUUUCCCUCCGUGGUGGAAUGGGAUCCUCCUACUUCCCUCGAUGCCCGUGGCGAGGCAGCCAAAGUGUGGCCGAAUGGCAGGGACUUCAAAAUGGAAAAACCAAAACCAAAACGUGGCAAGGGCAGGCCGCAGGGCGCUGGGUGAUGCGCCCAUCCCCUGAUCUCGGGUGUUCUGCACACAGACCCUUCUGCCUGGGGCAGACACGUGCUUUGGAUCCUUAACCGUCUCUUCCCCUCUUGCCAGCUUUCUCCCUGUAGGCAGCUCUUUUGAUUACUAAUUGUCUAACGCUGGGGUGCCCUGCCCGCACCCCGCCGCCGCCCAGGAACUAACGGCCCCCCGCUGCCUUCUUCUCUGUAGUGGCUCCUGUGUGUGUCUGCAGACCUGUCGCUGGUGCUGUGCUCUGAUCUACUAACACGGCCCUACUAACCGGUUUCUUCUCUUACUAACCCAGCCCUGCCGAGCUCUGGGCCUCCCGGGGGCUGGUCCCUCCUUUUGGCAAGCAGAUGUCCCCAGGCUGACCAGGCCAGGUCUGAGGCAGGGGACAGCUGUAUUAACGAUGCCCAGAGGAAGAGGAGGAGGAGGCUGCCCUGUGGAUGUGGGACGCUGCGCUCCGAGCAUGACCUCUGUCCUCUGUGCACAGGUCUGGUUGCCACCAGGAGUGGAUGGGAUCAGGGGAGCCAGUGUGGGGCCUGUAGUUCUGGGCCCUACCUAGCCUGGGCCCUUUCUGAUUUAGGCCAGGGAGGAAGGAGUAGGAACUCAAAGGGCUGGCCGUCUUGUACAGGAGCUCAAAGGUGUGUCUCUGAACCUGAAGCCAGCGGAGUGACAAGCCUUACAUGGAAGCUCUAACUGAGACGUUUCCAAAUAGAAGCAUGUGAGGGGGGCAUUUCCCCAAAAAACCACAAGGCAGAGUACUGGAAGUAGAUUUGGGGCCAUUUUCACACAGGAAGUAGGUGUGAGGAUAUUUUUCCCUCAGGAAGUGUUCAGAAAGACCCUCCCCACAGGCUGCCAGUUGCCAUGGUGCUCACAGUUGGGGAAGUGCCUCCACAGGCCCUUAGGGCUUACGGGAAGGCGGAGGAACUGGUGCCUGGAAGAGAACCCUUGGGGCCCACAGGCCACUGGGAAGUUACCCCAGCUCCUUGUCCUGUUGAUGCCCAUCCCUCUGCCCCAGCCAGCCUCCCCCAGAGCCCGCCAGCUGCUAAGCCAGGGCCACACCUGGGGGUGAUUUCAUGCCUCACCUCCAGUAGGCUCAUGGCCUCUCUGGGCUAACCUCUGGCUCCUCUGCACUAACUCUAGCUCAUACCCAGCUAACCCCUGCCUCUCCCUGGCUGCCCUAGCGGCUGACCACUUGCCAGCCCUGCCCAUCCUGGGGGGUGGGGAGCUCCAGGCUCCUGGCCUGGCUUUGGCCGACUCCCUUGAACCACCCCUUCCUCUGGACUAAUUCAUGCCUUUCUGGUCUGUUCCUUUCGGCAGAAAUGAAUGGCUGUGGACUUCUCUCUGACUAACAGGUCUCACACAUCUCACUGUUACCACUAACGGCUUGGAUGGUGGCAUGGCUGGAAAGGGGCUGGCUGACAGAGGCUCUGAGCUUGGUUGAUACGGGGAGAAUGUAGCUAGGGAGAGUAGAUCCCAUGGCUGCUCUGGGUCAGAGAUUCCAAAUGUCAAUCAAGGUGGUACCCUGGCUGGGGUGUGGCUCAGCCAGAAGAAAGGGUACUGUCUCCUGAGCAUCUUGGUAGGGUCAGACAUACAGCCAGCCUUCUUAGAUUGUGGCCACUGGCCCCAUCCCAUAAUCUUACAAUCUGCAGGAGCUGUUAGCUCCGUAAACUACAGCCUCAGUUCUUGCAAGCAGAGGCAUGCAGGAGCCUAAGACACCUGUCUAGUUUCUUCAAAGAACUUGUUAUUGAUGGAUUCGCUGGGCACAAGGCCAGGGCCUGUCCUUGUUUAGGAGACUUAUGGAGUUCUGGCCAUAUGACCUCAAGCUCCAGGCAGAAAUAUCUAUGAGGGUUGUAAAUCCUCCAACCCUAGACACCCUAGUGAAAUAGCCCAGGUUUCCCUCUAACUCUUCUAAGGUAGCUCUUUUACACAGGGUCGAUGCACUGGCUGGCAGGGAGUCUGGGACCCCUUAAGGCAAGGGGGAGUCCUCUGGGAGCAGAGACAGAAAGCCAUGAGGCCAGGGGACCCUUGUGGAGCUGUGAGUGACACAGGGCUGAGGUGGGCAAGAGGAGAGCAUCUUCUUUCACUGGCUUGGUCUGGAGGCUCAGUGACAUGGUUGAGCCUGUCGGCAGCCUCAGGGACAGGUUUCCUGGGUCCAUAGGUGCUGGGAGAGCUUCUUUCCUGCCAGCUUAGGGCUGACUGUAUAGCCACCGGUUGUCCUGUAGGCCCCUGGAGGCUUGAGUUACAGAUUAAAUGGAGGAGAAGCCCCUGGGGAAGGUGGGUUCGCGAGGAGGCAGGGCUGGGAUGUACCUGUUGCUGCCCUCUGGUGGCCGACCAGCUUCAUUUCACCCGCAAUGCCCAGAGAAGGCUGUUUACUCCAAGAACUCCCAAGGCAGAGGCUGGGCAGGGUGGAGCCCUGUCAUCAGGGCACCAGUGCGGGCACGAGCUGGUCCCCAGUGGCUGCAGUUCUGUGUGGUGGGCCCAGGACAGAGCAGGGGGAGGGGAUCAGGAGAGCUAAGGUGAGGCAGGCAGGGAGGUCUCUCUCGGAAGAGGGAUCACGCCAGCUAAACCUUGAUAGGGUACCAGGAGGGUGGCAGGGCUGGCCUUUUCAGGCUGCCUUUGCUCGCUUUAGCCCAGGUGGGGCAGGGAGGAGCUUACAGUGUGUGCCCGCCAUGUUCUAGACAGGGUCAGAGCUUCUGGCUUCCGUCCAUCUGGAGAGGAGCAGAGAUCACAGAGCUGGCUCUCACCGGGGGACAGAGGCGACGAGAAACUUAAAGUUUAGCCCAGGCCCUGAAGGUGUGAGUUUCCUCCAGAAGACCUGGAGGACAGUGAUGGCGAUAUGUGUGUGUUUGUGUGUGUGUGCGUACUUGCUUGACUGUGUGCACAUGCGUAAGAGAGGGGAGAAAAGAGAGGCGACUAGAGGAAACAGCCUCCGAUGGCUCAUUCUCAUCACCUAUCUCUGGGCUGCAUCUGCCCCCAUUCCCAGCCCACAUCCCAUUAAACUUCAGGCUUGUUUUGAGCAGGACCCCGUGGACAGGGACCAGCUUCCUGUCUGGGGAGGUCACAGCCUGCCUGGAGGGCAGAGCCAGCAUGGGCCCUGCCCCAGGGUGGGGCUGGACAGUGAGGACAGCUUUGGGGUGCUCAGGUUUGGAGCCCUGGUGCAGCCUGUCUGGACUCCGUCUAGGGCCUAUUGUUUUAUAACCAGCUUGGCAAAGCUGUCUGUUCCACGUCUGUUCCUGCUGGUUGGGGAAGGGGGAUGCUGAGUGUGGGCCCUGGAAGCCUGAUGUAUUGAAGACCAUCUUUCUGAGGGUCCAGCCAUAGUUCCCCGGUCUUUGGAUUUUCAUUCCUGUAGCUGUUUCUGUGUAAGAUGCUAUGUUGCUAUUAAAACCGGUGCACACUGGA